AGCGAACGCUAGCGGCAGGCCUAACACAUGCAAGUCGAACGGAUCCUUCGGGAUUAGUGGCGGACGGGUGAGUAACACGUGGGAACGUGCCCUUUGGUUCGGAACAACUCAGGGAAACUUGAGCUAAUACCGGAUGUGCCCUUCGGGGGAAAGAUUUAUCGCCAUUGGAGCGGCCCGCGUCUGAUUAGCUAGUUGGUGAGGUAAAGGCUCACCAAGGCGACGAUCAGUAGCUGGUCUGAGAGGAUGAUCAGCCACAUUGGGACUGAGACAUGGCCCAAACUCCUACGGGAGGCAGCAGUGGGGAAUCUUGCGCAAUGGGCGAAAGCCUGACGCAGCCAUGCCGCGUGAAUGAUGAAGGUCUUAGGAUUGUAAAAUUCUUUCACCGGGGACGAUAAUGACGGUACCCGGAGAAGAAGCCCCGGCUAACUUCGUGCCAGCAGCCGCCGUAAUAC
rnacentral:rRNA from 1 species